GUAAAGAGACGGACCAAAAAGAGAGCCCGACUCCGCGUGAGAUCGUUUCAUCUGUUUUUCCUGUAAAUAGAGAAAAUAAAGUCUCGCUGUUCUGCUGAAACGGUCUUUUUAUUUGAAGAAUUCACUGCCUUUUUGUAAAAAUAUCAAGUGUUAAGCUAAAAUAAAUGUUUUUAAACGUAUUAAGGUGACCUGCGGUGGAUGAAAGUUGAUAUCACACUGCAGCUUGGAUGAACACCUUGCAGACAACCAUACGUCCUUGCUGUUGGUCGAACCAGGAACACGAUUGACACUUUCUUCAUUGCUGUGGACAAACGGCUCAUCCCCUGCCAAGCCACGAGCUCAUUGGGUGCAUUUGAUGAACUGUUUAAAUCCCACUACGUGUUCGACCUGUCAUACGAUGAGUAUUUAUUUUUUUGAAUAAAAAACAAAACAAAAAGACAUGUAUGUUUGAAUGAUGUUAUUACUUGAUCACUGUUGCUGUUCAACACAUUUGAACUUAUGAUAAGUUUCUGUAGCCUUGCAGGCGACUACAAGAAUGUUCAGAUUUGGUCAACAAACACAGAAUGUACUUGACAUGUAUCAUAAAACAAUGAACGUUAAUAAACAUAGUAGAGAAACGAAAUAACACGGUGUCAUAAAACAACACUAAGGGUGUCAAAUGUUAACACUAUUAAAGAGUUAAAAUAUUAACACUUUACAAAGUGUAAUUUUAACUCAAAAUCCAUGAGAACUAUAUAAACUCAGUAAAAGUGUUAAAAUGAACACUGUGCUAACACUCCCGAUUUUGCUGUGUACAUAGUCAAAGUGAAGUAAGAUUUCUAUUAUUGUUUUCACAUGGUUGGGAACAAAGUGCUUAUUCUGAGACACCGAGUAUCAGUCGUUUACCUGACUCUGAUUUAGAAGUACUGCUUGAUGUCAACAUUGUUCUUUUAUCAAGAUUUGAUGAACCUGUGAACUCAGUGAAUCGACGAAUUGUGACGUCCAAAAUUGCUCUCAAAUGUCUCUUGUUAUAUGGAGCAAAGAAACCGCAAAAUAUUCAUAUUUAAGAAAGUGAAAAAGCCAUAAUGUUGAUGUCAUUAGGCCUAAAUGUGAAUCUACAGUGGAAUGAACGCUGAUGUCACUCAAUAUAACAUUGUUGCAUUAACCUAACACUGUAAUGCAGAAAGCUUUGUUUGUUAAACCAGGUCUGGAAAGUUUUUGUAAGAUAAUUCUUUGUUUUAACAAGUUCAACCACAA